GUUCACGUGCUGCGGUCUGACCAAUCCCAACAACUGGGCCGACCCUAGCGCCCAGCCCAGCUGCCCCUGCCCCGCGGCUGACCAGGGAACCAACAAGUGUGAAGUGAUCGGCGGUACGGAGUACAGGCUGUCUUGUGUGGACGAACUGAAGUUAUACCUGGAGCAGAACAUCGUCAUUGUAGGAGCUGUGGCACUGGCAGUCGCUGCUGUAGAGAUCUUUGGGAUCAUCUUCGCGUGUGUCCUAUUGCGGCAGGCAGACAAGGAGACCAGCGGCAUCGCGUAACCUCCUCCUGAUGCCGUCACGGGUUUUUGCUGAGGGAGGACCAAAUGUACAGUUUAUAGCAUUGUUACCUGAACAGUCUAAACAAUAAAAAGUGAGAAAGCGUUAGCAUCAGAACUGAAACACUAGGGCCUAGCAAGUCAAGGGUCCAUGAUGACACAUUUAUAUUAACAGCCGUAUCAAGUAGUAGCACAAUAUAUAGUCAAUACAAUUGAAACGUACACAUUGUUAUUAAUGUAUUUUAAUUUUUAUAGUGUGUUUUACAACAUUUAAUAAAAGAAAACAUUACCUCAUGCAAAGCUUCUGUUCUGCAAAACUUAUUUUUCCGUGUAGACAUGUUCAGUCAAAUUUGUUUUCCAUUUUGUAUCUACCAGAGAAAUUGUCAUGUAGGAAAAUAAGACAGUACUGGGGUGAUAAUGUUUAUGAACUUUUUACUUUCUGCUUUUGGGUCUUUGUUAUCAUGUCAGUCCUGUUAAUCUAAUAAAGUAAGGGAUUUCGUGGUGUCAUGA